AUAUCCUCUCUCUCUCUCUCUCAUAUCAUUUUUGCUUUUGCUGUCUCUUUCUCUCUCUAAUCCCUCAAUCUUCGCUCAUUUGUCUAUCCCAUUAUUUUUUUAAUCUUUAUCAUAAUUCUACGACACACUCAUUUUGAAAGAAUUAAACAAAAAGCAAUUAUAUAUACAUAUUUUCAAUCUCAUAGAUAGAUAUCUGUUCAUAUAUUGAUUGCCUUUUGUUCUGUUUUCAUUUCAUUUGAUCAAUGAGGAUCCAUUUUGAUCCCGCAGUUAGGUUUUCGGUUUAAGCUUUAUGUUGAUUAAUAUUUCAAGAACGUAGCUUAAGAAUCGAAGAAUUUUCCUGAUAGUUUUUCGGUACUGAUUUCUUGGAUCCGUUUUGUGGUAGUAAUUUGGUAAGUUUUCUUGAUUCUGUUUGAGGGGUUGACAUUAAUUAUCUAGUGGGCUCUGGAUUGCUGUUGAGAUUGGCAAUCAAGCUCCUGGGAGCUGUGGGUAUUAUUGAAAUUUGGUGAAGUCUUCAUUGAAGAGUGGUGGCUGUCGAAUUCUAAUUAUUUAUCAUGGAUCAUGUUGUGGGUGGAAAAUUCAAGCUUGGUAGGAAAAUUGGAAGUGGUUCAUUUGGUGAACUCUAUUUAGGUGUCAAUAUUCAAAAUGGAGAAGAAGUUGCCAUCAAGCUGGAAUCUGUGAAGACCAAGCAUCCUCAACUUCACUAUGAAUCAAAAAUUUAUAUACUUCUCCAAGGUGGAACUGGCAUUCCCAACCUGAAAUGGUUCGGAAGUGAGGGAGAGUACAGUGUUAUGGUAAUCGACCUUCUUGGACCAAGUCUGGAAGAUCUCUUCAACUAUUGCAACAGAAAGUUCUCCUUGAAAACAGUACUAAUGCUCGCAGAUCAAUUAAUUAAUAGAGUGGAAUACAUGCAUUCAAGAGGGUUUCUUCACCGUGAUAUAAAGCCUGAUAACUUUUUGAUGGGCUUAGGGCGCAAAGCAAAUCAGGUUUACGCCAUUGACUUUGGUCUUGCCAAAAAAUAUAGGGACCUCCAGACUCAUAAGCACAUACCCUACAGGGAAAACAAAAAUCUUACAGGUACUGCUCGUUAUGCCAGUGUCAACACACACCUUGGCGUUGAACAAAGCCGAAGGGAUGACUUGGAAUCUCUUGGUUAUAUCCUUAUGUAUCUCCUGAGAGGAAGCCUUCCCUGGCAGGGGUUGAAAGCCGGCACCAAGAAGCAGAAAUAUGACAAGAUUAGUGAAAAGAAGAUGUUAACCCCUAUAGAGGUGCUGUGCAAAUCAUAUCCAUCGGAGUUUGUAUCGUAUUUUCAUUAUUGUCGAUCAUUAAGAUUUGAGGACAAGCCAGAUUAUUCGUAUUUGAAGAGGCUUUUCCGAGAUUUAUUUAUUCGUGAAGGUUAUCAAUUUGACUAUGUUUUUGACUGGACUAUAUUGAAGUAUCCUCAGAUUGGUGCCAGUUCUAGAGCACGAAAUCUGAGUGGGAAUGCAGGGUUAAAUGCUGGACCUUCUGGUGAAAGAAUGGGGAGAACAUCAGAAUUCCAAUAACUGAGCUGAUUGCAAUGAUGCCUUAAUUGAAUUAACACAUUCCAUUUCCCUUGGAAAUUCCAAUAUGACUCGUUACAUGACUCUUUUGAUUUCAUUGUUCUCAGUGGGGCAAGAUAUUCGAGAUAGAUUCUCAGGUGCUGUUGAGGCUUUUUCCAGAAGACAUACGUCAGGUUCAGGUCACAGGCAUAGGACAUCAGAAGAUGUACCUUCAUCAAAGGAUGUGCAACCAGAUUCAGAAAGAGGUAGAACAUCACGAAAUGGCAGCUCUUCGAAAAGAGCUGCCAUUUUAAGCAGACCAAGCUCGUCUGGUGAACCCACUGAUGGCCGGUCAAGCAGAUUGGUAUCGAGCAGUGGCCGUUUGUCUACCACAAAAAGAAUUGGGAUUGAACCCAAACCAUCAUCUUUCUCUCGUGGUGCAGUGACCAAAGGGACUCGUAAUGACCCUCUUCGAAGCUUCGAAUUCCUGUCAAUCAGGAAGUGAACCGGUUCUUGUAAAAAUGUGGACGAACGCCUUCUAUUUAAGAAAAUCUCUGCACUAUCAAAUUUGUGUGAAUGGAAAAUGGGAGUUACACAAUAAUUAUCGCUCAUCUCUGGUCACUUUUUUGUUUAGAGGAGUUGCCUUUGUAUCGCAUUCUGUGCUAGUCCAAGAAAGGUUCGAGUUUUAUGUGCGGGAAUUUUCUACUUUGUACAAGACAAGGGUAGAUGGAAUCAUGUUGUUUAUAUUUGCAUCAAUGGACGUACAUGAUUGCAACUUGACCAAGUUCAAUAUUUGUUUCCUUGAAAGUCUGCAUACUUUUUUCA